rnacentral:rRNA from 1 species
AGAGUUUGAUCCUGGCUCAGAUUGAACGCUGGCGGCAGGCUUAACACAUGCAAGUCGAGCGGAAACGAUACCAGCUUGCUGGUAGGCGUCGAGCGGCGGACGGGUGAGUAAUACUUAGGAAUCUACCUAGUAGUGGGGGAUAGCUCGGGGAAACUCGAAUUAAUACCGCAUACGACCUACGGGAGAAAGGGGGCAGUUUACUGCUCUCGCUAUUAGAUGAGCCUAAGUCGGAUAGCUAGAUGGUGGGGUAAAGGCCUACCAUGGCGACGAUCUGUAGCUGGUCUGAGAGGAUGAUCAGCCACACCGGGACUGAGACACGGCCCGGACUCCUACGGGAGGCAGCAGUGGGGAAUAUUGGACAAUGGGGGAAACCCUGAUCCAGCCAUGCCGCGUGUGUGAAGAAGGCCUUUUGGUUGUAAAGCACUUUAAGCAGUGAAGAAGACUCCUCGGUUAAUACCCGUGGACAAUGACAUUAGCUGCAGAAUAAGCACUGGCUAACUCUGUGCCAGCAGCCGCGGUAAUACAGAGGGUGCAAGCGUUAAUCGGAAUUACUGGGCGUAAAGCGAGCGUAGGUGGCUUGAUAAGUCAGAUGUGAAAUCCCCGGGCUUAACCUGGGAACUGCAUCUGAAACUGUUAGGCUAGAGUAGGUGAGAGGAAGGUAGAAUUCCAGGUGUAGCGGUGAAAUGCGUAGAGAUCUGGAGGAAUACCGAUGGCGAAGGCAGCCUUCUGGCAUCAUACUGACACUGAGGCUCGAAAGCGUGGGUAGCAAACAGGAUUAGAUACCCUGGUAGUCCACGCCGUAAACGAUGUCUACUAGUCGUUGGGUCCCUUGAGGACUUAGUGACGCAGCUAACGCAAUAAGUAGACCGCCUGGGGAGUACGGCCGCAAGGUUAAAACUCAAAUGAAUUGACGGGGGCCCGCACAAGCGGUGAGCAUGGUGGUUUAAUUCGAUGCAACGC